rnacentral:tRNA from 1 species
GCCGGGUUGUGUAAUGGUAGCACGGCGGACUUUGGAUCCGUCUGUUCAGGUUCGAAUCCUGGCCCGGCAGCCAU